UUUACUUUGAAGAUCUAUUUGGGUAUGUCAUAUUAAUUUUGUUGAUGAACAUAAAUUUAUUGAAGUGUAGAUCUACUUUACGGGAAAACAUAAAGAUUGCUCCAUUUUUCGUUCAGUGAUCCUAGAGGGUCUAUCAUAGCCAGUGCUGCUGCAUUAGCUUACAGUGAGGAGAUGCUGGAAAUAUCUGCUGUGACAUAUUGUCACCAGAAACAUAGAAGACAUGCAACUGAGAUGAAUCCUCAUCCUAUCAAAAUCUCAUACAAGAGACACCCCCAUUGAUCACCUGCAGUAUUGAGACUGAUCUUCAACCCAUUGAACUAACUGAUGAGAGACUAAGUUGCUGGCUAUUAGAUCCAAUUGCUACAGCAGUUAUUCCUAUUGACAAAUUUUUACCAGAAGGUUCUGUUUUGAAUGAGUCUCAUGCUCCUGUUAUAUAAAAGCUAUUGAACAGAUAGUCAAUGAAUGGCACAUACUAGGAUUAUCUUGGAAUUCAAGAUCACAAGUUAAAAUAAAUUAAAUAUACAUUAAAUAGAUGUAUCCCGUAAAGACAUGAUAGUUCACUGGUUAAAGACUGGUACUGUUACAACAGAAAAGCUGAUAGAAGCACUCCAGGAUUUGGGAAGAAAUAAUGUUACUGCUGAAGUAAAGUGUCUACCUAAACAAUAAUUUAUUCUUUCUAUUAUUAAUAAUAAUAUUAUUUCUUAAUCUUCCUUUUUACUAUUACUUACAUAUAUUUACUUCUUUUCCU